GACGAACGCUGGCGGCGUGCUUAACACAUGCAAGUCGAACGGAAAUGUUCUGCUUUUGUGGCGUGCUCGAGUGGCGAACGGGUGAGUAACACGUGAGUAACCUGCCCUCGACUUUGGGAUAACUUCAGGUAACUGGGGCUAAUACCGGAUAGGUGCUCCUGCUGCAUGGUGGGGGUUGGAUUGUUUCGGCGGUUGGGGAUGGACUCGCGGCUUAUCUGCUUGUUGUUGGGUUAGUGGCUUACCAAGGCUUUGACGGGUAGCCGGCCUGAGAGGGUGACCGGGAACAAUGGGACUGAGGUAAGGCGCAGAAUCGUACGGGAGGCAGAAGUGGGGAAUAUUGCAGAAUGGGGGGGCGCCUGAUGCAGCAGCGCCGCGUGCGGGAUGACGGCCUUCGGGUUGAAAACCGCUGUCGCCUGUGACGAAGCGUGAGUGACGGUAAUGGGUAAGAAAGCAACGGCUAACUACGUG
rnacentral:rRNA from 1 species